AGUGAACGCUGGCGGUAUGCCUAACACAUGCCAGUCGAACGGCAGCACAGUAAGAUCUUGCUCUUACGAGUGGCGAGUGGCGGACGGGUGAGGAGUACAUCGUAAUCUACUUUUUCGUGGGGGAUAACGUAGGGAAACUGACGCUAAUACCUCAUACCACCUACGGGUGAAAUCAGGGUAUCUUCAGACCUUUCGCGAUUGAAUGAGCCGAUGUCGGAUUAAGUAGUUGGCGGGUGAAAGGCCCACCAAGGCGACGAUCCGUAGCUGGUCUGAGAGGAUGUCCAGCAACAUUGGAACUGAGAAACGGUCAAGACUCCUAGGGGAGGAACAAGAGGGGAAUAUUGGACAAUGGGGGAAAGCCUGACCCAGCAAUACCGCGUAGGUGAGGAAGGCCUUCGGGUUGUAAAGCCCUUUUGUUGGGAAAGAAAAGCAGCAGGUUAAUAACCCGAUGUUGUGACGGUACCCAAAGAAUAAGCAACGGCUAACUUCGUG
rnacentral:rRNA from 1 species